rnacentral:sRNA from 1 species
CCCUUCCCAAAACUGUGCACUUGGUUUAAGCCUUAUCCAGUAGAGGAGAACCUGUCUUUGGUCAAGAGUAUACAAGUAGCUGUGCUACCCUGCUAGAACCUCCGAAAAAGCUCUAAAGAUAUUAUACACCAGUGGGAAUGGGAAGGAGC